rnacentral:rRNA from 1 species
AUUGAACGCUGGCGGCAGGCCUAACACAUGCAAGUCGAGCGGAGCGGCGGACGGGGGAGGAAGGCCUGGGAAUCUGCCUGGUAGUGGGGGAGAACGUCCGGAAACGGGCGCUAAAACCGCAUACUCUCAGAUGAAGCUAGGUCGGAUUAGCUAGUUGGUGGGGUAAAGGCCUACCAAGGCGACGAUCCGUAACUGGUCUGAGAGGAUGAUCAGUCACACUGGAACUGAGACACGGCCCAGACUCCUACGGGAGGCAGCAGUGGGGAAUAUUGCACAAUGGGCGAAAGCCUGAUCCAGCCAUGCCGCGUGUGUGAAGAAGGUCUUCGGAUUGUAAAGCACUUUCAGUUGGGAGGCGUUACCCACAGAAUAAGCACCGGCUAACUUCGUGCCAGCAGCCGCGGUAAUAC